UUGCCCCUAAAAAAAAAACAACAUUUACUGAAAACAGUCUACAUAUAGCAUAGGAAAGCACAGUAAUGUGGCACCACCCCAUAAUAUUUCGACCUUAGUCUAUAUUAACUGGUCAAACUUAAAUCUAUAUUCAUAUAGAAUCCAAAGAUGCAUUCAGUUGUGUUUACAUACCCAUCAGGUAAUCUGUGGAAUACAAUUAACUGGAAUUGCCCAGACAGGUUGUUCAGAAGUGUCUGAUUAUGAUUAUUACAUGCAUGUCACACGCAUGGAGUCAAUCAGGCUUAAAUGGACAGUUAUGGAUCAGCGAUUGGCACCAAGAAUUGUGACCUACAAGCACAACCACAAUAUAAUGUGUAACACAGGAUAUGAAAUGCCCUUGACAUGCACAGUAAGUGUAUUAAAUGUACAUAGCAUGCAGAUUUGACUCGACUCCACUGUAUGUCACAUGUUUCUCUCCAAACACUUGUGUUGUGUCACGUGACUUUUUCCAACAUGGCCGCCCGGCCUUUUGGGUGUUGUUGGCUGCUGCUUCGCGCCCAAGUCAUAGCGGGCAGGCCGCUAAUGCAGCUGUUACAGACAUGGACUCUGCUGCCAGUUCGGGUACCAGGAGAGGCCUGUGUUAACACCCGUCAUCGAGGCGCCCCACCCUAACUAAUAACACAGCUAGCCAUGCUAACUGGAAGAUGAGGCCCAGCAAACUGAUGAGGAGGACGCUCAGGACGGCCAGGGCAGAGAUGGCUGCCACACUGGGGUUCAUCUCCCGCACUGCAGCCACACGAAACAAAAACAAGCACCGUCACCAGCUAAGCCAUGCCAGAUCACCAUCAUCAGGACCCUGAUCUUAUGUAAAAGUGGAGUUACCUGUGAUGAAGCUCACGGUAGAGGCAUCACAGCAGCGGAGAGCUGGCUCACCCCAGGUCACCAUGGUAACACGGAAGUUGUAGUACCAAGCCGGCAGCAAGUCAGUCAC